UACGAAGGGGGCUAGCGUUGUUCGGAAUCACUGGGCGUAAAGCGCACGUAGGCGGAUUUGCCAGUCAGGGGUGAAAUCCCGGGGCUCAACCCCGGAACUGCCCUUGAUACAGCAAAUCUCGAGUCCGGAAGAGGUGAGUGGAAUUCCUAGUGUAGAGGUGAAAUUCGUAGAUAUUAGGAAGAACACCAGUGGCGAAGGCGGCUCACUGGUCCGGCACUGACGCUGAGGUGCGAAAGCGUGGGGAGCAAACAGGG
rnacentral:rRNA from 1 species